UACAGAGGGGGCAAGCGUUGUUCGGAAUUACUGGGCGUAAAGGGCGCGUAGGCGGCCGCCUAAGUCAGACGUGAAAUCCCUCGGCUCAACCGGGGAACUGCGUCUGAUACUGGGCGGCUUGAAUUCGGGAGAGGAAUGCGGAAUUCCAGGUGUAGCGGUGAAAUGCGUAGAUAUCAAGCGGAACACCGGUGGCGAAGGCGACCUUCUGGACAGUGACUGACGCUGAGACGCGAAAGCGUGGGGAGCAAACAGG
rnacentral:rRNA from 1 species